rnacentral:rRNA from 1 species
GCACAAGCGGUGGAGCAUGUGGUUUAAUUCGACGCAACGCGAAGAACCUUACCUGGGCUCGAAAUGUUAUGGACCGGAGUGGAAACAUUCCUUCCCCGCAAGGGGCCGUAAUAUAGGUGCUGCAUGGCUGUCGUCAGCUCGUGUCGUGAGAUGUUGGGUUAAGUCCCGCAACGAGCGCAACCCUUAUCUUCAGUUGCUACCAUUUAGUUGAGCACUCUGACGAAACCGCCUCGGAUAACGGGGAGGAAGGUGGGGAUGACGUCAAGUCCUCAUGGCCUUUAUGUCCAGGGCUACACACGUGCUACAAUGGCCGGUACAAACCGUCGCAAACCCGUGAGGGGGGGCUAAUCGGAAAAAGCCGGCCUCAGUUCGGAUCGUAGUCUGCAACUCGACUACGUGAAGCUGGAAUCGCUAGUAAUCGCGGAUCAGAAUGCCGCGGUGAAUACGUUCCCGGGC